CCCCCCCUCAAAAAAAAUUAAUUUUAAGAAACAAGUUAUGUUUUCUGAAUGUAGUAAUUAAAUUAUAAUUUGAAUAUUAGUGUUAAUCUUGUUACAACAAAUACCAAUAAAACAAAAAAUUUAAAGAAAUAGUUUUCUAUUCUGAUAUCUGAUUUAAUUCCCAUUUCUUUGCUUGAAUUCAAUUACAACAAACUCAUGCUUCAAUGAACAAAUUUUUCGGUCACCUGUAAUUUGUUGUAACGGGACAAGGUGGGAAAUCUCACCUUACCUUUUCCCAUAGUGCAAACCCUGCUGAGUACUAUGUAACAAUUGUAGGUGUUUCAUUAAGGAUUGCACAAGAUUCGUAAGAAUAUAUAUUUUUUAUUUUUAAUGAUCUCAAGUAUAUUUUAUGUUGUAAUCUAGAACUUGUUUCCAAAAUGUUAGAAAAAUGAAUUAAUUUCCAUUUUGUCCAAGAUAACUAAGGAAAGUUACAUGGAUAGCCUCAGCAAAUUUUAAAAAAGUUAGAUAUAAAAUUUGGAACUAUGAUAACUAUGAAGUUCACGGACCACUUAGAUUUUUCUGCAGGCCACUGGUUGAGAAAUAUGUCAAUUAGUUCUCUGUGUUUGGUUCCAUCCAAAUUGUAAGUUUAACUUUUAUUAUUAAGAUGAGAUUGUUAGGUUAGACUUUGCUAAUCAGUUUGUAAGAACAAUUAAUUAUGCUUUUUUUGCAGUAAUAUUUAAAAGAGCAUUUUUAUCUAAUUAAUGUGCAACACUUCAUUGCAUUGUUUAUGAAUCAAAAAUGUUAUAGGAUUGUUAAUUUUUUGCUUUGAAUUCAUUAAGACUUUUAUGUGGUUAAAAUUUGGUUAUUUAUUAGCUUAACAUUAUUUUUCAAAAAAAAAAAAAAAAAAAUGAAGCAAAGACAAGAUUCAUACAAUAGCUUAUGAUUCCUUCGUAACAUUGAAAUGUAUUUCGUAACAGCUUGUUGAAUUUUUAAGUGAAAAAUAUUUAGCUGUAAUUAAAGUAAUUCUUUUGUUUGGGUUACUUGAUUGCUUUAAAAUAAUGUAAGCUAAUAAAAAUUGUACUUUUUUCCAAAAAUGAAAUUAUAGUUAGGCUAUGUCAUCUUUUUUUUUUUUUCAUUUCAGACAGUAGUAUGAUUAUUAGCUUUGAUUUAUAUUAUUGGAUUUAUUUUCAAGGAAAGAUUGAAAGGUCCUGUGAUCUGAGAAGGAUACGUUAGAUCUAUAGGGGUGUGCAAAUAUUCUAAAAAUACUCGUGGUGCUUCUAAGCGAAUUAUGAUGUCCAUAGCUAAGUCCAUAGUUAUAAUAUUUUUUAAGAGAAAUGUUAAGCCAUCUUUUAUAAUACCAGAUUCAGGUAGGAAUUUUAUAAAAUUCAUUAUUUGGAGGUGUUUGUUUUACUAAGUAUUCGGUGUUUGUAAAUUAAUAUCUUUACCCUUUUGUUGGUGUUUAUAACCAUCUACUGUUGUCAAAAAUUCUGAAAUGUAUAUUUUUCUUUUUUUAAAGGGAUUCUUUUAAAAGAACUGCCACAGCAGAACCUUGCACUGUGUAAAGGAAAUGUGUAUUUGUUCAAGUUCCUGAGAAAACAAAUGUUGAAACCAUCAAAGAUGGACUGCAUGAAAUUUCUAGAACGCCUAUUUCACUUCCCUGCGGAAAAGUGGUGGCCGUGGACAAGGAGGCUGAGGAGGAUUUGGAGGAGGCAGCCGAUAUGGCGGUUACAGUCGUGAAGGUGGUAGAGGUGGCAGCAGCAGAGAUCGAAGCAGUGGAGGAGGAAGCAGCCAUGGUUGUCACUAUUAGAGCAUGAGGCCUAAACUGCAUCUCUAUUCGUUGAAAUUCCUGAAAAAAAAUGUUUUCGAAACAUCAAAGACCGACUGAAUGAAAUUUCUAGAAUGCGCCUGUUUCCUGUGUGUGGUGGACGAGGAGGCAGCUGAUAUGGAGGCAGUUGUGGCGGUUACAGUCGUGGAGGUGGCAGCUAUCGAGAUCGAAGCACUGGAGGAGGAAGCAGCUAUGUUCGUCUCGAUUAGAACAGGACUAAAACUGCAUAUUCGUUGAAGUUGCAGAGAAAACAAAUGUUGUGGAAACCCUCAAAGACUGACUGCAUGAAAUUUCUAGAAGACGCCCAUUUCACGUCCCUGCGGAAAAGGUGGUGGCCAUGGAAGAGGUAAACAAGAAGGCUUUGGAGGAGGCACCCAAUAUGGCAGCAGCGGCUAUCGAAAUCGAAGCAGUGGAGGAGGAAGCAGCUAUGGUCGUCGCUAUUAGAACAUGAAAACUAAAACUGCAUGUCUGUUGUAGAGCAAAGAUUUUUUUUUAAUACUGUAAAAUUCCAUUUUCAUUAAAUAUC